rnacentral:rRNA from 1 species
GACGAACGCUGGCGGCGUGCUUAACACAUGCAAGUCGAACGGAAAGGCCCUGCUUUUGUGGGGUGCUCGAGUGGCGAACGGGUGAGUAACACGUGAGUAACCUGCCCUUGACUUUGGGAUAACUUCAGGAAACUGGGGCUAAUACCGGAUAGGAGCUCCUGCUGCAUGGUGGGGGUUGGAAAGUUUCGGCGGUUGGGGAUGGACUCGCGGCUUAUCAGCUUGUUGGUGGGGUAGUGGCUUACCAAGGCUUUGACGGGUAGCCGGCCUGAGAGGGUGACCGGCCAAAUUGGGACUGAGAUACGGCCCAGACUCCUACGGGAGGCAGCAGUGGGGAAUAUUGCACAAUGGGCGGAAGCCUGAUGCAGAAACGCCGCGUGCGGGAUGACGGCCUUCGGGUUGUAAACAGCUUUCGCCUGUGACGAAGCGUGAGUGACGGUAAUGGGUAAAGAAGCACCGGCUAACUACGUG